rnacentral:rRNA from 1 species
GAGUUUGAUCCUGGCUCAGAUUGAACGCUGGCGGCAUGCCUUACACAUGCAAGUCGAACGGCAGCAUGAUCUAGCUUGCUAGAUUGAUGGCGAGUGGCGAACAGGUGAGUAAUACAUCGGAACGUGCCCUGUAGUGGGGGAUAACUAGUCGAAAGAUUAGCUAAUACCGCAUACGACCUGAGGGUGAAAGUGGGGGACCGCAAGGCCUCAUGCUAUAGGAGCGGCCGAUGUCUGAUUAGCUAGUUGGUGGGGUAAAGGCCCACCAAGGCGACGAUCAGUAGCUGGUCUGAGAGGACGAUCAGCCACACUGGGACUGAGACACGGCCCAGACUCCUACGGGAGGCAGCAGUGGGGAAUUUUGGACAAUGGGCGAAAGCCUGAUCCAGCAAUGCCGCGUGUGUGAAG